rnacentral:rRNA from 1 species
UACGUAGGGGGCAAGCGUUGUCCGGAAUCAUUGGGCGUAAAGCGCGUGUAGGCGGCUUGGUAAGUCCGCUCUGAAAGCCCGGGGCUCAACCCCGGGAGGCGGGUGGAUACUGUCAAGCUCGAGUCCGGAAGAGGCGAGUGGAAUUCCUGGUGUAGCGGUGAAAUGCGCAGAUAUCAGGAGGAACACCGAUGGCGAAGGCAGCUCGCUGGGACGGUACCUGACGCUGAGGAGCGAAGCGUGGGGAGCGAACAGG